GUCUACAGCCAUACCACCCUGAACACACCUGAUCUCUCAUCUGAUCUCGGAAGCUAAGCAGGGCCGGGCCUGGUUAGUACUUGGAUGGGAGAAAUUAUAAGGUUAAAAA
rnacentral:rRNA from 2 species